CGACGCUGGCGGCAGGCCUAACACAUGCAAGUCGAGCGAGGACUUCGGCCUAGCGGCGGACGGGUGAGUAACGCGUGGGAACGUGCCCUUUGGUACGGAAUAGCCCCGGGAAACUGGGAGUAAUACCGUAUGGUGUCUUCGGACUAAAGAUUUAUCGCCAAAGGAUCGGCCCGCGUUGGAUUAGGUAGUUGGUGGGGUAAUGGCCUACCAAGCCGACGAUCCAUAGCNGGUUUGAGAGGAUGAUCAGCCACACUGGGACUGAGACACGGCCCAGACUCCUACGGGAGGCAGCAGUGGGGAAUCUUAGACAAUGGGGGCAACCCUGAUCUAGCCAUGCCGCGUGAGUGAUGAAGGCCCUAGGGUUGUAAAGCUCUUUCAGCUGGGAAGAUAAUGACGGUACCAGCAGAAGAAGCCCCGGCUAACUCCGUG
rnacentral:rRNA from 1 species